GUCAAGUAGCAUAUGUCCACAGAAGAUCAUGUCAGUUUGAGCAUGAAUAUUGUGAGCAGAAAGCAAAGGAUGCUUAAAUCUGUCCUCACUCUGCCACCACCUGGGGAAGAAAAAAACCACAGACAUCAUAUCUCCAAACCCACGGAUGUGGUUAGCAACAUGACAGUGCAGAAGCCACGUGCCAUUGACCUCUGCCACCAUCUCCAAUGUCUGAAAUGUUCCUGGGAUCAAGUCAUACACGUCAGUACGGUGAAGGUCUCAGCGUGGAAAUGGACGGUGUGAAUGUCUGCUUCAUUGCCCAUCCCAAACAGGUGAGAUAAGGAGGCAAAUGGUGGAUGUUUCAACUUCCUCUACCUGGCAUGACAGCCUCUGGUUUAGAAGAAGUCCUGACUCCAUGUGCCUGUAUUGAGUAAGGAUGACCGGCUUUGUUCAUGAAUGUGAUCAGCAAAACCUGACCUACUUCAGCUCGGAUUAUAGGUCCUAGAAAACACACACAGAUUAUCAUUCAUUAAUUCAAAUGAGGAAAUAUUAGGUGAAACAAACUUUUGAAUGGCUUAUAUUAAGUCACCUAAAAUCUCCAAGUGUUCCUCUUGAGGCUGUCUCAGUUUCCUUGUCCUGAAGGUGGCAUCAGUGUAUUCUCGAUAAACUGCUUUCUUAUAUCUGGAGCCUAGUCUGUUCUUUCCCAUUCCCACAAAUAAACUGCCAGGACUGAGACAAGAAUCUGAUUACGAAUGCCAUUCAAACACCGCAACACUAACAAAAGCUGUUAAACCAACCUGUUGU